CCUACGUGAUGCAGCAGUGGGGAAUAUUGGACAAUGGGCGAAAGCCUGAUCCAGCCAUGCCGCGUGUGUGAAGAAGGCCUUCGGGUUGUAAAGCACUUUCAGUGGGGAAGAAAGCCUUGGGGCUAAUACCCUCGAGGAAGGACAUCACCCACAGAAGAAGCACCGGCUAACUCCGUGCCAGCAGCCGCGGUAAUACGGAGGGUGCGAGCGUUAAUCGGAAUUACUGGGCGUAAAGCGCGCGUAGGCGGUCUGAUAAGCCGGUUGUGAAAGCCCCGGGCUCAACCUGGGAACGGCAUCCGGAACUGUCAGGCUAGAGUGCAGGAGAGGAAGGUAGAAUUCCCGGUGUAGCGGUGAAAUGCGUAGAGAUCGGGAGGAAUACCAGUGGCGAAGGCGGCCUUCUGGACUGACACUGACGCUGAGGUGCGAAAGCGUGGGUAGCAAACAGGAUUAGAUACCCUGGUAGUC
rnacentral:rRNA from 1 species